AAGAGCCGUAUGAAUCGAGAGGUUCAUGUAUGGUUUCGUGAGCAACUGAAGGGGACGGUUCCCUCCGGUUGACUUGAC
rnacentral:ncRNA from 1 species